UUGGCCUNGCAAUGCCAUUGUUACGUGUUUGCCUGGUGUCCUAGAACGANGCAUUACUCGUCGCACAAGCCCCGGCUAGUGACUUGUUUUGUGUCGGUGAAGUUGAUCACGGGCGAGCAUGAUGAGGCAUGUAGGAAUUNUUGUCUAGGUCUAGGCUCUUGCCUUCCUGGGUAGCUAAGACAACGUCACGGAGGAUUGUUGCUUGGUGAUCCUGUUUCGAAGCAUGACUUGUUUCCCAUGGCGGUGUUGGGGCUUGUUUUGCCAAGGACGGGCGAGUGAUCCGGGUGUGUGCCGAAACUGACGGAGACCCUUAUCGGUGAAAACUUGUGGCGUUGUGGGCCUCGCAAUGCCGUUGGUGCAUGUUUGCUUGGUGAUCCUAGAACGAAGCAUUGCUUGUCACACAAGCCCGGCUAGUGACUUGUUUUGCCAAGGUCAAGGUGACACGGGUAGCAUGAUGAGGCAUGUGGGUAUAUCUGGCUAUUAUUUUCUCGCAUCGCUCGGUGCAUCGUGGGAGUUGCUCUGACUUUUGGUUGCUUUCUUGGCUUAAAUGCCUUGUUGGGUGGCUACUAGUCAGGCGGUUUCUGAGGAUGAUUACCGUAAAGGUGCAUGAGUGGUGUUUGGUUUGUUACCGGUGGUUGGCUCUCUGCUUUUGCAGCAACUUCCACCUGGCAUUCCUCUUCGGUUAUGCGUCAAGGUUGUAUUUCCUUGAGCGCAUUUGGUUUCCUGUGUUGCCUACCUAUGUGACGGUAUUGCUUCGAUUACAUCAAAGUCUUGUUUCGUCUUGCGUCGUAUGUAUGGCGUGGGAUGAACCUCAAGGCAUUUUCUAUGAUCCACCUUGUUGACGCACAUGCGUCGAUGUUGUGGCCCAAUGAGUUUUGCUUGGUCUUCUGGAUACAGAACAUGAUAUGGGCGUGUGGGUCUCAUGUGAUCCUUGUUUUGCCCUUGUUGAACGUUGCUAUUCCUCUAAGACGGCUCGCCUAGCCCGAAUUGGCUCGUACCACCGGGUAGGUUUAUGUUGUUGAAGAGGAAUGCUGGCGUUCUUGCUUCUCUAAAACGAACGGCCUUUGCCUGCAUGGGCUCGUACCAGCGGGCGGGCUAUGUCGAAGAGGGAUGC
rnacentral:misc_RNA from 1 species